rnacentral:rRNA from 1 species
CCUACGGGAGGCAGCAGUGGGGAAUUUUCCGCAAUGGGCGAAAGCCUGACGGAGCAACGCCGCGUGGGUGAUGAAGUAUUUCGGUACGUAAAACCCUUUCAGCAGGGACGAACACAAUGACGGUACCUGCAGAAGAAGCAUCGGCUAACUACGUGCCAGCAGCCGCGGUAAUACGUAGGAUGCAAGCGUUGUCCGGAUUUAUUGGGCGUAAAGCGAACGUAGGCGGUUUCUUAAGUUUGGUCUUAAAGACUGGGGCUCAACCCCAGGAAUGGACUGAAUACUGGGAGACUAGAGGAUGUUAGAGGAAAGUGGAAUUCCAAGUGUAGCGGUGAAAUGCGUAGAUAUUUGGAGGAACACCAGUGGCGAAAGCGGCUUUCUGGGACAUUUCUGACGCUGAGGUUCGAAAGCUCGGGGAGCAAACAGGAUUAGAUACCCUGGUAGUCCGAGCCGUAAACGAUGGACACUAGGUGUCGGGGGUAUCGACCCCCCGGUGCCGUAGCUAACGCGUUAAGUGUCCCGCCUGGGAGUACGGUCGCAGACUGAACUUAAAUGAAUUGACGGCUGGGAGAGCGACGACGACACGACGGAGGAG